GGGGGCGUAGUUCAGUUGGUUUAGAACGCCGGCCUGUCACGCCGGAGGUCGUGGGUUCGAAUCCCAUCGCUCCCGCCA
rnacentral:tRNA from 1 species